rnacentral:rRNA from 1 species
AGAAUCAACGCUGGCGGCGUGCCUAACACAUGCAAGUCGCACGAGAAAGGGGAGCAAUCCCUGAGUAAAGUGGCGCACGGGUGAGUAACACGUGAAUCAUCUACCUCCGAGUGGGGAAUAACUGAGAGAAAUCUUAGCUAAUACCGCAUAACACUUACGAGUCAAAGCAGCAAUGCGCUUGGAGAGGAGUUCGCGGCAGAUUAGUUAGUUGGCGGGGUAAUGGCCCACCAAGACGAUGAUACUGUA